CUGCUGCCUUCCGUAGGAGUCUGGGCCGUGUCUCAGUCCCAAUGUGGCCGUCCGCCCUCUCAGGCCGGCUACCGAUCGUCGCCUUGGUGGGCCGCUGCCCCGCCAACAAGCUAAUCGGACGCGGACCCAUCGCAUGCCGGGAUUGCUCCCUUUCCGCACUGCGCCAUGCGGCGCCGUGCGCAUAUGCGGUAUUAGCGGCUGUUUCCAGCCGGUAUCCCCCUGCAUGCGGCAGGUUGU
rnacentral:rRNA from 1 species